UACGGGGGGGGCAAGCGUUGUUCGGAAUUACUGGGCGUAAAGGGCUCGUAGGUGGCCAACUAAGUCAGACGUGAAAUCCCACGGCUUAACCGUGGAACUGCUGGGUAUACUGGGUGUCUUGAGCCACUCAGGGGCUACCGGAACAAACGGUGGAGCGGUGAAAUGCGUAGAUAUCGUUUGGAACGCCAAUGGUGAAAACAGGUAGCUGGGGGUGUGCUGACACUGAGACACGAAAGCCAGGGGAGCAAACGGG
rnacentral:rRNA from 1 species